AGUGAAUUAUCAUUACUGUAAUACAGGACUCACUGGGAGCGGGAGUAGGGGUGGAUACUUUAGGGUAGACAUAGGUACAGAACUUUCUGGACCUUUAAUCUUAUUAGACGGGACCCCAUCCUGAGCUCAAAAUGGCAAAGAUGCUAAGACCAUAAUACUAGCAACAGUUCUGUAUUUAUCCAACCGUCUCCCAUUCCCCAGUUCAAGUACUCCAGGACAGAAGUAUGCAGGACUGGAAAAAUCCCCAGAUGUUAUUCCCGCCCCGCCUCACAUGUCAAAGAUGCAUUGGUUGUGUCCCCGAGUUUGUUCCUGGGAGGCAAAUUAGCAAAAAUGCUCUGACCAAAAACACAAGUACAAUCAUUGCAUUCUUGGUACUGAGAAACGGCAUCCUGUCAGGGUCAGCAACCAUCUGUCUGAGUCUUUUGUGUGGCUUCUCCCCGUUUGGCCAGCAGGUGUCACUGGCCAUCCUGUCCUCCCCAUUGUCAAACUCCUUAGUGUUUCCCCUUCUCCCCAGACUACCACAUGGCUCGGUGAGCUGAGUGUGUGCGACCACUAAACCCCUCUGUCGUGUUCAAAUCCCACCUCCUCUGUUUUAUUUCUAUAGAUUUUGUUCCCUUGUGUUUCAUUUGUAUCAGUUUUCUAUUUCCUGUGUUUUGUAACUUGUAUUCGAUUUUGUUUUUUUGCUUUGUGCC